rnacentral:lncRNA from 1 species
CUAUUGCAACUCAAGAGUAUCCUAGAUUUGCUUAAACGGUUAACUACUGGCAAACAUAGCAGUAGUCGACUCAGAAAAAGAAACGCUGCUUGUACUGUCUGCCUGUGGAACUUGGAACAAACAAAUGCUGAUGGACUCCCAGACAAUAUGGAGGCCCUGUCCAGAUUGAGCCACAUGACCAGUGAUGGUGCCUUUGUGGAAUCUUGCCUUUGAACCAUUGAAACAUGAAUCGACCCAAUUUGGCAAUGGAGUUCUAACUCCAACCCUCAAACGAAGCCUGGGAAAAUAAAAGCUAG